AACGAACGCUGGCGGCAGGCCUAACACAUGCAAGUCGAACGUGAAGCCACCUUCGGGUGGUGGAAAGUGGCAGACGGGUGAGUAACGCGUGGGAACGUGCCUUUCGGUUCGGGAUAACCCAGGGAAACUUGGGCUAAUACCGGAUACGCCCUCCGGGGGAAAGAUUCAUUGCCGAAAGAUCGGCCCGCGUCGGAUUAGCUAGUUGGUGGGGUAAAAGCCUACCAAGGCGACGAUCCGUAGCUGGUCUGAGAGGAUGACCAGCCACACUGGGACUGAGACACGGCCCAGACUCCUACGGGAGGCAGCAGUGGGGAAUAUUGGACAAUGGGCGCAAGCCUGAUCCAGCAAUGCCGCGUGCAGGAAGAAGGCCUUCGGGUUGUAAACUGCUUUUGUCAGGGAAGAAAUCCUCUGGGCUAAUACCUCGGGGGGAUGACGGUACCUGAAGAAUAAGCACCGGCUAACUA
rnacentral:rRNA from 1 species